rnacentral:rRNA from 1 species
UACAGAGGGGGCAAGCGUUGUUCGGAAUUACUGGGCGUAAAGGGCGCGUAGGCGGCCUUCUAAGUCGAACGUGAAAUCCCCGGGCUCAACCCGGGAACUGCGUCCGAUACUGGAAGGCUUGAAUCCGGGAGAGGGAUGUGGAAUUCCAGGUGUAGCGGUGAAAUGCGUAGAUAUCAGGAGGAACACCAAUGGCGAAGGCAGCACUCUGGGACGUGACUGACGCUGAGACGCGAAAGCGUGGGGAGCAAACAGG